rnacentral:rRNA from 1 species
UGAGGAAUUUUCCGCAAUGGACGAAAGUCUGACGGAGCAAUGCCGCGUGAAGGAUGAAGGCCUAUGGGUCGUAAACUUCUUUUCUCAGAGAAGAAUUCUUGACGGUAUCUGAGGAAUAAGCAUCGGCUAACUCUGUGCCAGCAGCCGCGGUAAGACAGAGGAUGCAAGCGUUAUCCGGAAUGAUUGGGCGUAAAGCGUCUGUAGGUGGCUUAAAAAGUCUCCUGUCAAAGAUCAGGGCUUAACCCUGGGCCGGCAGGAGAAACUCUUAGGCUAGAGUUUGGUAGGGGCAGAGGGAAUUCCCGGUGGAGCGGUGAAAUGCGUAGAGAUCGGGAGGAACACCAAAGGCGAAAGCACUCUGCUGGGCCACAACUGACACUGAGAGACGAAAGCGAGGGGAGCAAAAGGG